rnacentral:rRNA from 5 species
UUGACCUCAAAUCAGGUAGGAUUACCCGCUGAACUUAAGC